rnacentral:rRNA from 1 species
CGAGGUUAAAGGUACCCGUACCGCAAACCGACACAGGUGGGUGAGGAGAGUAUCCUAAGGCCAGCGAGAGAACUGUUGUUAAGGAACUCGGCAAAAUGACCCCGUAACUUAGGGAUAAGGGGUGCCACCAUCAGGUGGCCGCAGAGAAUAGGCCCAAGCGACUGUUUACCAAAAACAUAGGUUUCUGCUAAGUCGCAAGACGAUGUAUAGGAGCUGACGCCUGCCCGGUGCUGGAAGGUUAAGGGGAUCUGUUAGAGCAAUCGAAGCAGUGAACUUAAGCCCCAGUAAACGGCGGCCGUAACUAUAACGGUCCUAAGGUAGCGAAAUUCCUUGUCGGGUAAGUUCCGACCCGCACGAAAGGCGUAACGAUUUGGGCACUGUCUCAACAACAGACUCGGUGAAAUUGUAAUUCCGGUGAAGAUGCCGGAUACCUGCGACAGGACGGAAAGACCCCAUGGAGCUU